AGCUGCCUCUCCCGCCGAGUUGGAGACGGAUGGGCUGGGACGGGUUUUGGGGGGGUGUCCCCAGUUCUGACUGGGAGUGGAGGAACCCCUCCAGAGCUCUCUUUUGGGGGUCCCCCUCUCCAGGGCACUCCCCAGUCCUUGAGCCAGCUGAGAGGAAGGAGGCCAGCGAUGCGACUGGGGCGUCUCUUUUCUCCUGCACCCCAAAUGUGAGGGAUGCACCCCCAAAUUUGCUCCUUUCAAAAUAGGGGACCAGGAUCUCAGGGGAGAGUAGCUGAGUCCUUGCUUAGAGUCCCAGGUGAUCCACAGGUCCAGGGUGAACAGUGAGGGUCAGAGGUGGCAGGCUCAGCAGGACAGCAGAGGAGCAUCAGCAGAGGUGGAGAGAAGGCCAGAGUCCAGGGUCAGGCUGUCUGGAACAGGAAGGAAAAUGGACAGAGAUGGAGCAAGCACAGAGUUUUCCAAGAAAACCCUUACCUCCUCAAACGUCCUAUUACUAACUGACCCAAUUCCCUGCACUGAAUCUUCCUUCUGAGGCCCCUGCACCAGAAAGGGGCUUCUGCUGGGACCCUCCCCUACCAUCCAGUCUUCAAGGAAAUGCUAACAAAACUAGGAACGAAGUAGGAAAGAUGCUGAGCUGGGAGUUCUGAGAAAGAACAAUGGGUAAAGAGGAAGAAAGUUGCCCACCCUCCCCGUUCUCGGCCAGCCACCCUCCCUCACACUGUCCGUUCCUUGAUGACACAGCUGAUGUGAUUAAGAUCGUCCCCAAAUCGCUUCA